CUUAUACUUUCUUCAUCUAAAAAUACUUGUCAUAAAAAUGGAUGUAUCUAGAUAUAUUUUAGUUCUAAGUACAUUUAUUUUUAUCCAUUUAUGCGACAAGUAAUUCCAGACGAAGGGAAUAUAAA
rfam:Hordeum vulgare subsp. vulgare, WGS project CAJW01000000 data, contig: morex_contig_48519